UAAUACGGAGGGUGCAAGCGUUGUCCGGAUUUAUUGGGUUUAAAGGGUGCGUAGGCGGCUUUUUAAGUCAGCGGUGAAAGACAACAGCUCAACUGUUGCAGUGCCAUUGAUACUGAAGAGCUUGAGUACAGAUGAGGUAGGCGGAAUUUAUGGUGUAGCGGUGAAAUGCAUAGAUACCAUAAAGAACACCUAUUGCGAAGGCAGCUUACUAAGCUGUAACUGACGCUGAGGCACGAAAGUGUGGGGAUCAAACAGGAUUAGAUACCCUGGUAGUCCACACUGUAAACGAUGAUCACUCGAUGUGUGCGAUAGACAGUACGCGUCCAAGCGAAAGCGUUAAGUGAUCCACCUGGGGAGUACGCUCGCAAGAGUG
rnacentral:rRNA from 1 species